rnacentral:rRNA from 1 species
GCUUACACAUGCAGUCGAACGAUGAACCACUUCGGUGGGGAUUAGUGGCGAACGGGUGAGUAACACGUGGGCAAUCUGCCCUGCACUCUGGGACAAGCCCUGGAAACGGGGUCUAAUACCGGAUACUGAUCCUCGCAGGCAUCUGCGAGGUUCGAAAGCUCCGGCGGUGCAGGAUGAGCCCGCGGCCUAUCAGCUAGUUGGUGAGGUAACGGCUCACCAAGGCGACGACGGGUAGCCGGCCUGAGAGGGCGACCGGCCACACUGGGACUGAGACACGGCCCAGACUCCUACGGGAGGCAGCAGUGGGGAAUAUUGCACAAUGGGCGAAAGCCUGAUGCAGCGACGCCGCGUGAGGGAUGACGGCCUUCGGGUUGUAAACCUCUUUCAGCAGGGAAGAAGCGAAAGUGACGGUACCUGCAGAAGAAGCGCCGGCUAACUACGUGCCAGCAGCCGCGGUAAUACGUAGGGCGCAAGCGUUGUCCGGAAUUAUUGGGCGUAAAGAGCUCGUAGGCGGCUUGUCACGUCGGUUGUGAAAGCCCGGGGCUUAACCCCGGGUCUGCAGUCGAUACGGGCAGGCUAGAGUUCGGUAGGGGAGAUCGGAAUUCCUGGUGUAGCGGUGAAAUGCGCAGAUAUCAGGAGGAACACCGGUGGCGAAGGCGGAUCUCUGGGCCGAUACUGACGCUGAGGAGCGAAAGCGUGGGGAGCGAACAGGAUUAGAUACCCUGGUAGUCCACGCCGUAAACGGUGGGCACUAGGUGUGGGCAACAUUCCACGUUGUCCGUGCCGCAGCUAACGCA